rnacentral:tRNA from 3 species
GCGCCCGUAGCUCAAUGGAUAGAGCGUCUGACUACGGAUCAGAAGGUUGGGGGUUCGAGUCCCUUCGGGCGCGCCA